GAGAAUCAUGUAUAAUGGUGACGUCGUUAUUCUCAAGGUUGCUUCUAUGGAUAACACAUAUAGAUAUCCACUGCCUAGGCCUACUAUUCAGCCAUUUAUGAAAUGACUACAGAAGAGGUAUCAUCAUUUGAUGAUCAAGCUGAUUGGCUCUAGUGCAAGUGGGAGAUUGUUGGAAAUGUGCCCUAAAGCCAACCAUGUGAUGAUACUUUACGGACAUUUCACAUGUUAAACUAAUCUAGUUUUACAUAUAAAGGGCAUAAAUUAUUGU
rnacentral:lncRNA from 1 species